rnacentral:tRNA from 1 species
GGUGGGUUGGCUAAGUUGGUUAUAGAGUGUAGGUCUCGUAACCGAAAGGUCGCGGGAUCGAAUUCCGCUAGAGGCUG